UGAGGAAUAUUGGGCAAUGCCCGCAAGGGUGACCCAGCAACGCCGCGUGGAGGAUGAAUGUCGUAAGAUUGUAAACUCCUGUUAGAGGGGAAGAAUAGUACCGGUUGGACCGGUAUAUGACUGUACCCUCAGAGAAAGCCCCGGCUAACUACGUGCCAGCAGCCGCGGUAAUACGUAGGGGGCAAGCGUUGUCCGGAUUUACUGGGUGUAAAGGGCGCGCAGGCGGGAUAAAAAGUCAGUGGUUAAAUCCUACAGCUUAAAUGUAGAACUGCCUUUGAUACUUUUAUUCUUGAGUUCGGGAGAGAGAGACGGAAUUCCAGGUGUAGUGGUGAAAUACGUAGAUAUCUGGAAGAACACCAGUUGCGAAGGCGGUCUCUUGGUCCGACACUGACGCUGAGGCGCGAAAGCGUGGGGAGCAAACA
rnacentral:rRNA from 1 species